UACGGAGGGUGCAAGCGUUGUCCGGAUUUAUUGGGUUUAAAGGGUGCGUAGGCGGCCCGUUAAGUCAGUGAUGAAAGCCUCCAGCUCAACUGGAGAACUGCCAUUGAUACUGACGGGCUUGAGUACAGACGAGGUUGGCGGAAUUGAUUGUGUAGCGGUGAAAUGCAUAGAUACAAUCAAGAACUCCGAUUGCGUAGGCAGCUAACUAGGCUGUAACUGACGCUGAGGCACGAAAGCGUGGGGAGCGAACAGG
rnacentral:rRNA from 1 species